rnacentral:rRNA from 1 species
CCCUUAGAUGUCCGGGGCCGCACGCGCGCUACACUGAAGGAAUCAGCGUGGCUUUCUCCCUGACCCGAAAGGGUUGGGAAACCCGUUGAAUCUCCUUCGUGAUAGGGAUUGGGGCUUGAAAUUGUUCCCCAUGAACGAGGAAUUCCCAGUAAGCGCGAGUCAUAAGCUCGCGUUGAUUACGUCCCUGCCCUUUGUACACACCGCCCGUCGCUACUACCGAUUGAACGGUUUAGUGAGGGCCUCGGAUUGGUCUCGGCCCGCUCUUUACCGGGCGGCGCCGUUGGUCGAGAAGACGCUCGAACUUGAUCGUUUAGAGGAAGGUGAAGUCGUAACA